rnacentral:tRNA from 1 species
GCCCGGGUGGCGGAACCUGGUAGACGCGCGGCGUUGAGGUCGCCGUGUCGCAAGACGUGCGGGUUCGAAUCCCGCCCCGGGCACCA